rnacentral:rRNA from 1 species
UACGUAGGGGGCUAGCGUUGUCCGGAUUUAUUGGGCGUAAAGAGCGUGUAGGCGGCCAGGUAGGUCCGUUGUGAAAACUCGAGGCUCAACCUCGAGACGUCGGCGGAAACCCUCUGGCUAGAGUCCGGAAGAGGAGAGUGGAAUUCCUGGUGUAGCGGUGAAAUGCGCAGAUAUCGGGAAGAACACCCGUGGCGAAGGCGGUUCUCUGGGACGGUACUGACGCUGAGACGCGAAAGCGUGGGGAGCGAACAGG